GGAUUCGUUAACCACUGAGCCACAACGGGAACUCCUGGCUGGAAGGUCUUUAUUGACCAUACCGCUGCUGACUUUUCCCAUUACGUUUUGUUCUGUCCUCCUGCUUCCACUCGCUUUGGAGAGCCUAAAUUGGGUCAUGUCACUUCCUUGCUCAGACUCUGUACUCACCAUUCGUCCCCCUACAGCAUCCACUGUAUGCAGGAUAAAAUCCCAGGUCCUUACUUGGGUCCAGGAGAGGCUUUGUGAUUAGCCCCUUGCUGUUUCUCUAAUUCAUUCCUUACUGGUCUGUCUCAUUCUACUCCAGCCAUUCUGGCUUCUGUACUGUUCCAAGCCCACCUCAGGGCAUUUGCACUACCUAUUCCCUGGACCCAGAGUUCCCUUCCCCCAGACAUCCACAUGGCACCCUCCUUCAACCCCUUCAGGUUAUUGGCCAUAAGUCAGAGCAGCCUUCCUGAACCUCUCUCUCUUUUUCUUUUCUUUUCCUUUUUGAUGGUACUAGUCUUAAUGCUUAGCCACUUAGCAAAGGCAUAGAGGUAUGACAUAUAUGGACACCUUCUUUAUGAGAAAAGCCCUAUGUUCUUCAUCUGUCUGAUAGGCCUUCCUUGUCCUUGUCUAUUAUUUGAGACCUUCUCACCUUUCAAGACUCCUCGUAAAUAACAUCAUGCCUGAGAAGACAUGUAUACAUUUUUCCCCUCACAUUAUCAUGCUCCAUCAUAAGUGACCAGAUAUAGUUCCCAGUGCUAUACAGCAGGAUCUCAUUGCUUAUCCAUUCCAAAGGCAAUAGUUUGCAUCUAUUAACCCCAAAUUCCGAAUCCAUUCCACUCCCCCGCCCCCCGGCAGCCAAGACAUGGAAAUAACCUAAAUGUCCAUCAGGAGAUGAAUGGAUUAAGACAAUGUGGUACAUAUAGACAAUGGAAUACUACUCAGCCAUAAAAAAGAACAAAGUAAUGCCAUUUGCAGCAACAUUCUCAUACUAAGUGAAAUAAGUCAGAAAGAGAAAGACAAAUACCAUAUGAUAUCACUUAUACCUGGACUCUAAUAUAUGGCACAGAUGAACCUCUCCACAGAGAAGAAAAUCAUGGACACGGAGAACAGACUGUGGCUGCCACACAGUCUUUAGUGUCCUUGACUAACACAUCACGCCAGUACUGCUAUGGCAGCAGCUGGUGGUGUGUUUGCCUCCAUAAGAAUGAGAGCAUCUUGAGGGCAGCAUCUGAGCCAUAUUAAUCUUCAUAGCCUGUGUCUAACACUAUGCCUAAAGCAGAUGAUCAGUAAAUGUUUGUUGAGUGAGUAAAGUUGAGAACAUCUAAAUGUCUAAGAAAAAAAAAGGUUAAAUGUCUUUCAGUGAAUUAGAAGCAAUCUGUUCUGAAAAUUUCACUCUUUGAAAAAUCAGUAUUCGAUGUCCAAUACAUGGUAUAAGCCGGUGUGUAAGGGUAUAAAAGAAACAAAAAGUCAGAUGUUUAAGCCAGAAUCUUCCUAAGGACAGGAAAUAGAAAGUAUCUAGCCAGGUAUAUAAAAAUUUGUUCUUUUUAAAAAAAUCUUGUUCUCUGCCAAGUCAUACCUCAAUUUGUGCUGUCCCCUUUCCCCCUAGUUUAAUGUAGAUGUAAUUGACAUAUAACAUGGUAUUAGUUUAAGGCACACCACAUAAUGGCUUGAUAUAUGCAUAUAGUGUGAAAUGAUGACCACAGUAAGUUUAACAGCUAUAACAUCCAUUACCUCGCAUAGUUACAAUUUUUUUCUUAUGAUGAGAACUUUUCAGAUCUACUCUCUUAGCAAGUUUCAAUACACAAUACAGUAUUGGUAACUACAGUCAUGAUGCUGUAUCACAUACUCAGAGUUUAUUGAUCUUAGAACCAAAAGUUCUACUUUUUGACCACAUUUUUACCCAUUUCUCUCACUCCUAUACCCACCACCCUGCCCUUGGCAACCACCAAUCUCUUCUCUCUUUCCAAGUGUUCGAUUAUUUUUAGAUUUUACAUAUAAGUGAUAUCAAACACAUUUGCCUUUCUUUUGUCUAUUUCACUUAGCAUAAUGCCCUCAAGAUCCAUCUAUAUUGCUACAAACAGCAAGUUUUCUUUCUUUUUAUGACGAAUAAUGUUUCAUUGCAUAUAUACGCCACAUUUUCUUGAUCCAUUUUAUCCACUGAUGGACAUUUAGGUUGUUUUCAUGUUUUGGCUAUUGUAAAUAAUGCUGCAGUGAACAUGGGAGUGUAGAUACCUCUUCAAUACAGUGAUUUAAUUUGCUUUGGAUUCAGACUACACAUUAGUUAUAAAUUCCUUCAAUCAGAGUCAUACUUUCUGGAAUCAUAUCUGAGACUUCAUCCAUCAUAUGCCUACUAUGAGACCUAAUGUGAUCUUAAUUUCUCUCUACCUCAGUUUCUUCAUUUAUAAAAUGGAUUGUUAUAAGGUUCAAGUGAGAUAAUAUAUGCAAAGCAUGUACUAGUGCCUGAUGCAGUAAGCACCUCAUAGAUAGUAAAAUUAUUAGAAGCUUCUUCCUUGGUGCUUCAUUCAUGAUCUGCGAUGAUGGAGAGCUGCAAAAAAGGAUACUUCUAGGAAGUUUAUAAAAUUAAGAAAUGGUCUUUAUCAUUUCAAAUGAACCAAGGCAACAACUGAUAUUCAUCUACACUUUCCAGUUUAAUGACAAUAUCAUUACAUGCGGGGAGUGCUUUUGCUUUGUGGAAGAGGCUGUUGUACCUCGAUGCCCAAUCUUUUUCUCACUUCUAGAUAAGUUUUGCAGAGUCCAUGGUCAUCUUGCUGGAAGCUGCAUUUCCCAGCCUCCCUUACAGCUGGAUCUGGCUCUGGGAUCAAGUUCUCUCCAGUGGUGCUUGUUAGCCAUUUCUUUUUCUUCUCUUUCUUUGGGCUGAAAUGCUGAUAUGCUUUUUUGGGGGAGAACCAACUUUGAUUAUGUGCUUAAGUUUGGGUUUCUAGACAAAAGGCUGAGCAACAAGAUAGAAGGAACCUGGGUCUCUGAAUGACUUAAUGGAGCCAAGCUCCCUAUUCAUCCUGGGUGGUUAUUACAGAGAGAAAUAAAGAAAUAAAUUACUAUCAUUUGAAUUGUGUUCUGGGGUUCUUUUGUGGUAGCAACUUAUCAUCAACCUUAACUACUGAAACCAUCAUGUAUCCUUUUGGCCUUUGUAUGUGUGUCCUCUUCUACCUCUGCCAGAACAUUCUCCCUCUACCCUUCUACCUAAUUAUGUCUUUCUCUUCCUUCAGAUGUCUCUUCCUCAGGGAACCCUUCUGAUCUCCUUAGAUAAGUCCAAUUCUUAUACAAUUUUUUCCCUUGCACUAUCUUCUUCUUUCAAAGAAUAGACCUUAUUAUGGUUAGAACUUUACAUUUAAUUGUGUAUUUUAUUUGAUUAAUGCUUAUCUUCCUCACUAUAUUUAUGAUUUAUAAGCCCUAUGAAAGGAAGGGCUAUGUCUUAAUUGAUUUGUCAUAGUAACCAGAAGCACUAUCACAGUAUAUAGCAUGUAAUAGGCACUUAAUAAAUAUCAUUAAUUAAAAAAAUCAUUAAUGUGUCUCUCACCCCCAUGGCAAUGUUAUUCUUCUUGCCAUUGUUUUUUGUCACUCUCCAGAACAUUGAGUGGUUAAGUUGUCAAAAACCAACAGUCAAGCAAGACCAUUGGUCUACCACGAUGUGGGAAGAGAUUUCCCCUUGUCUCCUAAUUCCUAAUUUUAAAUGCCAGCACACCAGUGUGACACCAAGUUUGGGGCUGCUAAUUUUAUCUAUUAGCAUGUGAGAUGGCUAAUAAAAGUCAGAGGGUGGAAUCGAUAUUUACCUCUCCUUAAGAGCUCUGAGUCACUGGAUGAAAUUUGAUCCUUUGUUCCUUUGGUGUCAUUCUGCAUCCAAGUUGACUGGUCACUAAUAUUUGGCCAUUCCAGCCUUUAAUCACUUCCCCACUGGCCUUAAUAUCAUUAUGACACUAUCUCUAAGGGUUUUAACUUAAUUAUAUGGUGGCCAACCUCUGAAAUAAAAAUAUUUCCCUAGUGGUAAACUAGUCAUUGUUGCUGCUAAAUCAGAUGGUGUUUUAUUGUAGAAGAAAACGGUUUCUUUUCAAGUGUAGGCCAGGUACAUAGCAACCACUAUGGACGGUCCUAUCUCUUCCCCGGGGGCAUCGAGAAGGAAGAAGCUGCAAAUGUUGGAAGCUACAAAGCAAUUUCACUGAGCACCUGCCUACAUAUAGUAUUUUUAGAAGUAUGGGGCUCUGUCCUCCCUAUCAUCUUCUUUAAUAACCUCAUCACAUCUCUGAAGAACACAUAUAAAUCAAUUACCUUCUAAGUAGCCUGCCUCUGCAGAGAUGGGUCAUAUUUAUGAAAACAGUUUUCAUAGAUAAAAGACUUUCCUUAUGAUGUGCCAGGAAAUAAUGCCACAAUAUUGCCAGGAGAGGCUUCCAGAAACCAACAGCACCUGAGUCACAUUAAAAGCAUUUGAGCCCAAGAAUUAGGUUGGCACUUACACUUGGCCACUGCUAAAAGCCCAUUUUCUGUAUUAUUGCUUGAGGGAAUUAUUUUGGUAAUCUGAAAUUCCUCAAAGCUUCCUGUUUCAGCAAGAUUCUCCAGUUGCUUUGGAAGAGCUUGAAGAUCGUGAAAACCCAAAUUUCAUUUGCAUUUAUACCUUUAUGUUGUGAUUCCCCACGAAAUCCCAUAAGUUCAUGAAAAAAUCCAUAAGAAUAACAGUCUGUGUGCAACCCAGGGUCUGGAAUUACUUAAAGGCUUUAGGUAGAAUCAACAGCCCAGAAAAGGAGCUCAUGAAUGUAUCCAGUAAAUGGUGGCUGCCUACCCAAGGGCUAUGGCCCUCUUCCUUCCAUGCUUUGUGUAUUUGCCCCCUGCCAGCCACCCCUUGCAGAUGCAGAGAGUGGGUCUAGGCCAGUCAUAUAGUUCCAUGCCAAGGAAGACACAUUCUCUCCCAUCUUUGGACACUGCUGCGUGAAGAGAAGCUUGGAGCUGCUGCAGAUAUUUUGUGACCAUGAAGAGACAAAGUGAAGAUAAAAAUCACUAUGCUCUUCUCCAAGUCCAUGAUUUUCUUUUCUGAGGAGGUGUUCAUUUGUGCUGGGUAUUAGAUUCCAGUUAUAAGUGAUAUCAUAUGGUAUUUGUCUUUGUCUUGGAGAGGAGACUUGUGGCUGCCUGAUGGGAGGGGGAGGGAGUGGGAGGGAUCGGGAGCUUGGGCUUAGCAGACCCAACUUAGAAUAGACAUACAAGGAGAUCCUGCUGAAUAGCAUUGAGAACUUUGUCUAGAUACUCAUGUUGCAACAGAAGAAAGGGUGGGGGAAAAAAUGUAAUUGUAAUGUAUACAUGUAAGGAUAACCUGACCCCCUUGCUGUACAGUGGGAAAAUAAAAAAAAA
ensembl:lncRNA